ACCGGCGCACGGGUGAGUAACACGUAUGCGACCUGCCCCCCGCAGGGGGAUACCGGGAGAAAUCCCGACUAAUACCGCGUAACGCCGCGGACCUGCAUGGGUCUGCGGCCAAAGGAAGCGAUUCCGGCGGGGGAUGGGCAUGCGGCGCAUUAGCUAGUCGGCGGGGUAACGGCCCACCGAGGCGACGAUGCGUAGGGGUUCUGAGAGGAAGGUCCCCCACACUGGUACUGAGACACGGACCAGACUCCUACGGAAGGCAGCAG
rnacentral:rRNA from 1 species